UGUUUGAUGUUCUAACGUUGGCCCCUGAUCGGGGUUGCGGACAGUGUCUGGUGGGUAGUUUGACUGGGGCGGUCUCCUCCUAAAGAGUAACGGAGGAGCACGAAGGUUGGCUAAUCCUGGUCGGACAUCAGGAGGUUAGUGCAAUGGCAUAAGCCAGCUUGACUGCGAGCGUGACGGCGCGAGCAGGUGCGAAAGCAGGUCAUAGUGAUCCGGUGGUUCUGAAUGGAAGGGCCAUCGCUCAACGGAUAAAAGGUACUCCGGGGAUAACAGGCUGAUACCGCCCAAGAGUUCAUAUCGACGGCGGUGUUUGGCACCUCGAUGUCGGCUCAUCACAUCCUGGGGCUGAAGUAGGUCCCAAGGGUAUGGCUGUUCGCCAUUUAAAGUGGUACGCGAGCUGGGUUUAGAACGUCGUGAGACAGUUCGGUCCCUAUCUGCCGUGGGCGCUGGAGAACUGAGGGGGGCUGCUCCUAGUACGAGAGGACCGGAGUGGACGCAUCACUGGUGUUCGGGUUGUCAUGCCAAUGGCACUGCCCGGUAGC
rnacentral:rRNA from 1 species